UACGUAGGGCGCAAGCGUUGUCCGGAAUUAUUGGGCGUAAAGAGCUCGUAGGCGGCUUGUCACGUCUGCUGUGAAAUCCCGGGGCUCAACCCCGGGCGUGCAGUGGAUACGGGCUGGCUAGAGGCAGGCAGGGGAGAACGGAAUUCCCGGUGUAGCGGUGAAAUGCGCAGAUAUCGGGAGGAACACCGGUGGCGAAGGCGGUUCUCUGGGCCUGUACCGACGCUGAGGAGCGAAGCGUGGGGAGCGAACAGGAUUGAGAAACCC
rnacentral:rRNA from 1 species